rnacentral:rRNA from 1 species
GAUGAACGCUGGCGGCGUGCUUAACACAUGCAAGUCGAACGGUGAACACGGAGCUUGCUCUGUGGGAUCAGUGGCGAACGGGUGAGUAACACGUGAGCAACCUGCCCCUGACUCUGGGAUAAGCGCUGGAAACGGCGUCUAAUACUGGAUAUGUGACGUGACCGCAUGGUCUGCGUUUGGAAAGAUUUUUCGGUUGGGGAUGGGCUUGCGGCCUAUCAGCUUGUUGGUGAGGUAAUGGCUCACCAAGGCGUCGACGGGUAGCCGGCCUGAGAGGGUGACCGGCCACACUGGGACUGAGACACGGCCCAGACUCCUACGGGAGGCAGCAGUGGGGAAUAUUGCACAAUGGGCGCAAGCCUGAUGCAGCAACGCCGCGUGAGGGAUGACGGCCUUCGGGUUGUAAACCUCUUUUAGCAGGGAAGAAGCGAAAGUGACGGUACCUGCAGAAAAAGCGCCGGCUAACUACGUG